rnacentral:rRNA from 1 species
GAGAGGGAGGUCCACCCCCAUGGGAAUUAAGCCCGGCUCCAGAUCCUUCGGGAGGCCACCAUGGGGGAUUAUGGCCCAAGGGGGGCAACCUGAUCCCACCCAUCCGGGGGGGKGAAAGAGGCCUUAUGGUUGUUAAACCCCUUUCACGAGGAGGGAAGUCGUUAAGGUUAAUCAUAGGGAUAAUGGACGUUACUCGCAGAAUAAGCACCGGCUAACUCUGUGCCAGCAGCCGCGGUAAUACAGAGGGUGCGAGCGUUAAUCGGAAUUACUGGGCGUAAAGCGCGCGCAGGCGGUUUAUCAAGUCGGAUGUGAAAUCCCCGAGCUCAACUUGGGAAUUGCAUUCGAUACUGGCGAGCUAGAGUAUGGUAGAGGAGGGUAGAAUUCCAGGUGUAGCGGUGAAAUGCGUAGAGAUCUGGAGGAAUACCGAUGGCGAAGGCAGCCCUCUGGCCUAAUACUGACGCUCAGGUGCGAAAGCAUGGGGAGCAAACAGGAUUAGAUACCCUGGUAGUCCACGCCGUAAACGAUGUCUAUUAGCAGGUGGUGCCUUUGAGGCGUGAGUGCCGCAGCUAACGCGAUAAAGUAG